AAAGCCGCAUUCGUGAACUAAUUUUAGAAGCGAGAAAGGCAAAGAAAAUGUCAGGUAAAGAAGAUAAAAAUGUUGACAUAUUUGAUGCAGCCUUGCUUAGUGUACAAUCACCAACGAAGCCCAGCAUUUCACGUAAAAAUUCCCGGCUAGUUGCUGAAUCUCCCAUCAAAACACCAUUCAGGGAACAGAAUCGUGUAUCAAGAGCUAUACUUCGGGCAUCUCUUAUCGGAAAGUCUGUAGAAAAUUGAUUGGAGCGCUAUAAAAUUGUAAUAUAUUAACUUACUUAAGAUAUAGUAUUUUUAUCUUACGAAACUAAGCUUAUAACUACGCUAAGAAUGUGUGAAGUCGUGAAGACAUGUGGUAUUUAUAAUCUUUAU